rnacentral:misc_RNA from 1 species
GUUUCUAACUUACCUGUAUUUGAAAUAAUGUAAUUGGGUUAGACAAACGACAAGGACAGGCGAGAACAUAGAACACUUCAAAUUAACUGUAUUCCAUUAUAUUGUCUUCUAUAACUGAAAAAUAUAUGUGAUGAACACAUAUACAUUACAAUUCCCUAUACUUGGCCUGAACAACAAUCCACAUCUAUGCCAAAUACUGUAAAUUAUUCAAGCUAAGUUGAUUAGUUAUUACUAACUAGACACCCUGUGAAGUUGCAGUUUCUCCUGCUAUUGAAAUUUCCUUCAACUUCGCAUUGCUUGAGAAGAUGCAUCUUGAUGUUACAGCACAUCCAUGGUCAAAUAGCCAUCCUACCUCACAGCAAGUUUCACCAUCUUUGCUUACUUUUAGUGAACACCACAAUUGCUUGGGAAGCAAUAUCAGAUCACGAUCAUCUCUUACUAACUUCUGCACACUGUUACCUUUUAAUUCUUGAAGGAAGCCAGUUUGAGAAGUACAAAAAUUGGCAACACCUCUGGAUCCCUGCCAAUGUCCUACAAUUUGAGAAGCUUCCAAAGCACCAGUAGAAGCAAAUGCAGAAUUUAGGAUUGCACAUCCACCUAGUUGGUCACCAUCUCUAAAUGGUCCAUACCAAUGCUCAACAAAAACCCUAAUAUUCUUUAAUAUCAUCUUUGCAUUGUCUGCUUGAAUAACUUGAAUUAUUCUCACACGGGACUCCCUGUCUUGAGGAUUUAUCAAGCAAUGUUCCACCUCCAAUUGUUUCUCAAUUGGCCAAACAGCCACAUAACACCCAUUAGAUUGAUAAGCAAAGGCAUAAACUUUAUUAUCUGCACUUCCAACGCUCCUCUCAUCAAUGCUAUACCGAGUUGCAGCAUCGGCUUCACAUCCAACGGUGGGAAGUAAUUUGAUGGUUUUCUGGGUCAAAAGAAGGUCCUCUGGUUGAGCAAGUGUCGGGCACUGAGUCUGCCAAUCAUAAACCUUGACUUCCCAUUCCCUAAAAGCUUCAGGCACCACGGAUUCAGGAAGUUCGAUUGGGCUUCCUUGAGGAGUGAAGUCUGCUCCAAAUCCAUCCCAUUCACCAGACACAUUUCUAGCAAAUUCAGACCAUCCUGAUGCUACAGCAGAGAAGACAACAGCACAUGAGAAGAGAAGAUUAGAGAUGAAAGAUUUUGUGAAAGUGGAAACAGGAAAAUGGGUAAUUGGAGCUUACUGGUGGUGGGGGUGGUGGAGACACCACCUGAAACGGCGGUGGACUUGGCGACGCAAGAGAAGGGAGUGAGUGGAAGGUUAUAGUGAUAGUGAACGUUUGAUUGGAAAUUGAUGGUUUUAGAAUUGGAUCGAAGCUUUAAAAAUGGUAAACUGAUAGGUAUUGGGAUUCCGUUUUGUACGAUUACUCUGUUGCCUAUUACUGCCAUUUGCUGUUCUCUCUGAGGAACAAUGACAAGAAAUGAGAAGAAGAUGAGCAAGCGGGAACCAACGGUUUUGGAUUCUGC